rnacentral:rRNA from 1 species
AUUGAACGCUGGCGGCAUGCCUUACACAUGCAAGUCGAACGGCAGCACGGGAGCAAUCCUGGUGGCGAGUGGCGAACGGGUGAGUAAAGUAUCGGAACGUGCCCAGUCGUGGGGGAUAACGUAGCGAAAGUUACGCUUAUACCGCCUACGAUCUAUGGAUGAAAGCGGGGGAUCGACAGACCUCGCGCGGUUGGAGCGGCCGAUAUCAGAUUAGGUAGUUGGUGGGGUAAAGGCUCACCAAGCCGACGAUCUGUAGCUGGUCUGAGGGGACGACCAGCCACACUGGGACUGAGACACGGCCCAGACUCCUACGGGAGGCAGCAGUGGGGAAUUUUGGACAAUGGGCGAAAGCCUGAUCCAGCCAUGCCGCGUGCAGGAUGGAGGCCUUCGGGUUGUAAACUGCUUUUGUACGGAACGAAAAGGUUUGGCCUAAUAAGCUGAGCUCAUGACGGUACCGUAAGAAUAAGCACCGGCUAACUACGUGCCAGCCGCCGCCGUAA